UCAAUUUUCCUAUAUAGAGGGCGGUUACAAGGCUGGGCUUAUAUACUGAAGAAUCUGAUUAUAUUCUAGGCUAGCUGCUUUCUUUGGUAAGGGAGUAGAUACUUUAUAUGCCAUGGACAGGGAAUGGAUACGAAAUCCGAAUCAAGUGAGUAGGGAAUAUUUAAAUGGGAUUUCAGAAUUUUUGAAAACUGCAAGCAAACAUGUCAACGCUGAGGGUUAUACUAAGUGCCCAUGCCAGAAUUGUAACAACUGUAGAUUGAAGUCAUUGAGAGAAAUUCAGCAAGAUUUGGGUAGAUAUGGAAUGUCAUUCAAUUAUACUACAUGGACUCAUGGUGAUGAUAGUUCAAGCAGUACUACUGAUGACGGUAGUGAUCUGGAUUAUUAGUUGUCUAUGGCUAAAUGGAAUUCUGGGCUAGAUAGCUUACAACUGGUAUCAACACGGCAUGGAGACCAGUGUGAGGAUCAUUCACGCCAGUUGUUUGAUACUGGAAUGUUUCAUGAUGAUCGUCAUCGUUUCCCGAUUUCAUGAUGCUGCAUAUCAACGUGAUGAGGACUAUAGUGAGAAUGGUGAUACUUAAGGAUAUUUUAUCUAUAUUAUAGUAAUGUCGAAAUGAAAACAUAGAUAUUUUUGUAUUUUGUAAUUAAACCGAAUUGUGAACCUUACAUUAGUUUAUAUUA